rnacentral:rRNA from 1 species
UAAACCGAUAUUUGACGCUCAAGGCACGAAAAGCGUGGGGAGCGAACAGGAUUUAGAUACCCUGGUAGUCCACGCCGUAAAACUAUGAUCACUCGUUGUUGGCAAUACACAGUCAGUGACCAAGCGAAAGCGAUAAGUGAUCCACCUGGGGAGUACGAUCGCAAGGUUGAAACUCAAAGGAAUUGACGGGGGCCCGCACAAGCGGUGGAGCAUGUGGUUUAAUUCGAUGAUACGCGAGGAACCUUACCUGGGCUCAAAUGUAAGUUGACAGUUUCUGAAAGGGAAUUUUCUUCGGACAAUUUACAAGGUGCUGCAUGGUUGUCGUCAGCUCGUGCCGUGAGGUGUCGGGUUAAGUCCCAUAACGAGCGCAACCCCUACUCUUAGUUGCCAUCAGAUAAUGCUGGGGACUCUAGGAGAACUGCCUACGCAAGUAGAGAGGAAGGUGGGGAUGACGUCAAAUCAGCACGGCCCUUACGUCCAGGGCUACACACGUGCUACAAUGGCCGGUACAGAGGGCAGCCACCUGGUGACAGGGAGCGAAUCUCUAAAGCCGGUCUCAGUUCGGAUCGAAGUCUGCAACCCGACUUCGUGAAGCUGGAAUCGCUAGUAAUCGCGCAUCAGCCAUGGCGCGGUGAAUACGUUCCCGGGCCUUGUACACACCGCCCGUCAAGCCAUGGAAGCUGGGGGUACCUGAAGUCGGUGACCAUUUAGGAGCCGCCUAGGGUAAAACUAGUGACUGGGGCUAAGUCGUAACAAGGUA